UUUUGACUUCAUUUGAGUAACCUUUCAACUCUCAGUUCAGAUCUCUCCCUCCAUCUUCGUUCUCUCUAUCGGUUUUCUCAAACGAACGCGGUGGCUCCGCCGCCGGAAAUCGCUUCCGGCGGUGGAGCAAGUCAAAACCAAAAAAAUCCAACAUCACUAGCCUCCUAUCAAUUCCUUUUCUCCAUAUCUCCACUUAAUUUUUUUAGAUUUACUCGUAUAAUCCCUAAAUUCAAGCCUUACAGAAAACCUAAAAACCCGAAUACACAAAUUAAGUGUUGAUGAUUCAAGAUACCAAUCAACAAGCAUGGGGAAACGUUCAGGGGGUGUUAAUCUGUGGUAUGGUGUCCACAAAAGCGAAGAAGAUGAUGGAAUCACUUGCCUCGCGGCGACGAAUGUGUGCUUCUGACGAAGAUCACGAACUCAGGUCUUGGGCCAUGUACUGCAAAGUUUGAAAGUUAGACUGACGAUGUCUAUCUUAAAGAGUCUUACCCGUUCGCUCCUGACGUAGCAACAAUAGGGAGGGAAAUAACAGUUUUUUAAAAUAAAAUUUACUGAAUAUUUAUAGUGAAGGUUUAAAGGUUUAUAGUAGAAACAGAAACAAAAAACGCUAUAACCAUAACAGCCAAACUAAGAUAAUGGUUGCAGUUUCUAUAGCAGAUUUUCAAAAUUGAUAUGCUAUCACGCCGCUAUCUUCACUAUUUGACAACACUGAGUUGACUAGUGUUAUUAUGUUAUGUAUAUUGGAAAUUAUAUCACUUAUAGGUGUUUUUAAUGUUAUAUUUUAUAUUAAGUUAA